rnacentral:rRNA from 1 species
AUGACUGGGGUGAAGUCGUAACAAGGUAGCCCUAGGGGAACCUGGGGCUGGAUCACCUCCUUACAAAAAAG